rnacentral:rRNA from 1 species
UAAGGGCGCACGGUGGAUGCCUUGGCACUAGAAGCCGAUGAAGGACGUUACUAACGACGAUAUGCUUUGGGGAGCUGUAAGUAAGCUUUGAUCCAGAGAUUUCCGAAUGGGGAAACCCAGCAUGAGUUAUGUCAUGUUAUCGAUAUGUGAAUACAUAGCAUAUCAGAAGGCACACCCGGAGAACUGAAACAUCUUAGUACCCGGAGGAAGAGAAAGAAAAUUCGAUUCCCUUAGUAGCGGCGAGCGAAACGGGAAGAGCCCAAACCAACAAGCUUGCUUGUUGGGGUUGUAGGACACUCUAUACGGAGUUACAAAGGACGACAUUAGACGAAUCAUCUGGAAAGAUGAAUCAAAGAAGGUAAUAAUCCUGUAGUCGAAAAUGUUGUCUCUCUUGAGUGGAUCCUGAGUACGACGGAGCACGU